CAAUCAUAAAAGGUGGCUUUYAGCUACCACUURCAGAUGGACCCGCGGCGCAUUAGCUAGUUGGUGAGGUAACGGCUCACCAAGGCGACGAUGCGUAGCCGACCUGAGAGGGUGAUCGGCCACACUGGGACUGAGACACGGCCCAGACUCCUACGGGAGGCAGCAGUAGGGAAUCUUCCGCAAUGGACGAAAGUCUGACGGAGCAACGCCGCGUGAGUGAUGAAGGUUUUCGGAUCGUAAAACUCUGUUGUUAGGGAAGAACAAGUACCGUUCGAAUAGGGCGGCAC
rnacentral:rRNA from 1 species